AGCAGAGGGCGGCCCGGCGCGGGGAGGAGAAGAAGGUGGAGAGCUGCGGCGGGCCGAGACUUUAAAUCGCCUUCAUUUCCCCCAAAUCCUUCCUUUUCCUCUCCUCCCCCAGGCCGGCGGGGAGGCAGCUUCCACCGCCCUCCGCGCGCGCUCUCCCGGCCUUGCUCUGCCUCCAGAGACCGCUAGCGGCCCGCCUCCAAAAGUUUGAUCAUCUCUCUCUCCCUGCCUUUUCUUGCUUCUUCCUUUUCGGUGGAAGCAGAAAAAGAGCGAGGCAGGGGCGAGCGCGGCUCCGGCAGUCCUGGGACCAUGGGCCUGGCGCGGGCGACCGCCGGGCUGGGGCCGUGCUGUCCGUCUGCUCCGGCGCCCCUGGGCGCAGGACUGGGCUGGGGGUGCGCCGGCAGCGCGCUUUGAGCCGGCCUGGCGCGGCGCGGCGGGGGGCUGGCGGCCCCAUGGGGCGCGCCCACACUUGCCCCCCGGGCUCCGCAGCAUGAAGUAGGGGCCUGCCAUGGGCACGGGAUUCGCGCGGGGGGCCCGAGGCACAGCGGCGUCAGGACCCGGGGGGGGGUUUCUCUUCGCCUGGAUCUUGGUCUCAUUUACCUGUCACCUGGCCUCCACCCAAGGAGCUCCUGAAGAUGUGGAUGUCCUCCAGCGGCUGGGCCUCAGCUGGACGAAGGCCGGGGGUGGCCGGAGUCCUACACCCCCUGGUGUCAUUCCUUUCCCAUCUGGCUUCAUCUUCACACAGCGGGCCAAGCUGCAGGCCCCCACAGCCAAUGUUCUUCCCACCACCCUGGGGCGGGAGCUGGCAUUGGUGUUGAGCCUCUGUUCACAUCGUGUGAACCAUGCCUUCCUCUUUGCCAUCCGCAGCAGGAAACACAAGCUGCAACUGGGUCUGCAGUUCCUCCCCGGCAGGACGAUCAUCCACCUGGGGCCUCGGCAAUCAGUGGCCUUCGACUUGGAUGUGCAUGAUGGGCGCUGGCACCACCUGGCCCUAGAGUUGCGUGGCCGCACAGUCACAAUGGUGACAGCCUGUGGGCAGCACAGGGUACCUGUCCCACUGCCUUCCCGUAGGGACUCCAUGCUUGACCCCCAGGGCUCCUUUCUCUUGGGGAAGGUGAACCCCCGUGCUGUCCAGUUUGAAGGUGCACUCUGUCAGUUCAGCAUCCACCCUGUGGCGCAGGUCGCUCACAAUUACUGUGCCCACCUGAGAGAGCGGUGCCGACAGGUGGACACAUAUAGUCCCCAGGUGGGAACCCUCUUUCCUUGGGACUCUGGCCCAGCCUUUGCUUUGCAUCCUGAACCAGCCUUGCUUGGCUUGGGGAAUCUGACCAGAACUCCAGCAACCCUGGGGGCCAGGCCUGUAAGCAGGGCACUUGCAGUGACUCUGGCUCCUGCCAUGCCCACCAAGCCCCUGAGGACUGUCCACCCAGAUGUCUCUGAACACAGCUCUUCCCAGACCCCACUGUCACCUGCCAAACAGUCGGCCAGGAAAACACCUUCCCCCUCCUCGUCAGCUUCCCUGGCUAAUUCCACCAGGGUUUAUCGUCCAGCUGCUGCCCAGCCAAGACAGAUCACAACUACUAGCCCCACCAAACGUUCCCCCACCAAGCCUUCUGUUUCUCCCCUUUCAGUUACCCCCAUGAAAAGUCCCCAUGCAACCCAGAAAACAGGUGUCCCUUCAUUCACAAAGCCUGUUCCACCCACUCAGAAGCCAGCGCCCUUCACCUCCUACCUAGCACCUUCCAAAGCCUCUAGUCCCACUGUGAGGCCUGUUCAGAAGACUUUCAUGACACCCCGACCUCCAGUCCCCAGCCCCCAGCCCCUGCGCCCUACUACUGGCUUAUCUAAGAAGUUCACUAACCCCACUGUUGCAAAAUCUAAGUCCAAGACGACCAGUUGGGCCAGCAAGCCGGUCUUGGCCCGCUCCAGUGUCCCUAAAACGCUUCAGCAAACUGUUUUGUCCCAGUCUCCUGUUUCCUAUCUGGGCUCUCAGACACUGGCUCCAGCCCUCCCUCCUUUGGGUGUUGGAAAUCCUAGAACGAUGCCUCCCACACGUGACUCUGCUUUAACUCCUGCUGGAAGCAAGAAAUUCACAGGACGGGAAACCUCCAAGAAAACCAGACAGAAGAGCAGCCCCCGGAAGCCCGAACCUCUCAGCCCUGGGAAGUCAGCCAGGGAUGCCUCACCAAGAGACCUGACAACCAAGCCUAGCCGGCCGUCCACCCCAGCCCUGGUCCUUGCCCCAGCUUACCUCCUGUCCUCCAGCCCCCAGCCCACCAGCAGCAGCUUCCCUUUCUUCCACCUGCUGGGCCCUACACCUUUCCCGAUGCUGAUGGGGCCUCCAGGCUCCAAGGGAGACUGUGGCUUGCCGGGUCCCCCUGGGCUUCCAGGAUUACCUGGAUCUCCGGGCGCACGAGGUCCUCGGGGUCCUCCUGGGCCGUACGGGAACCCAGGCCCACCUGGCCCUCCAGGAGCCAAAGGACAGAAAGGGGACCCAGGACUCUCACCAGGACAGGCUCACGAUGGAGCAAAGGGCAACAUGGGCUUGCCUGGGCUCUCCGGAAAUCCAGGACCCUUGGGAAGGAAGGGACACAAGGGCCAUCCUGGAGCAGCAGGGCACCCUGGAGAACAGGGGCAGCCAGGACCUGAGGGCAGUCCAGGGGCCAAAGGUUACCCUGGCAGGCAGGGGUUCCCUGGACCUGUAGGAGACCCUGGCCCCAAAGGCAGCAGGGGUUACAUUGGUCUUCCGGGGCUCUUUGGCCUGCCAGGGUCGGAUGGAGAGCGGGGUCUCCCUGGCGUUCCUGGCAAGAGGGGCGAGAUGGGUAGGCCGGGCUUCCCUGGAGACUUUGGGGAAAGAGGCCCCCCUGGACUUGAUGGCAACCCUGGAGAAAUUGGCCUGCCGGGGCCACCAGGAGUGCUCGGGCUCAUUGGUGACACAGGAGCACUGGGCCCAGUUGGCUACCCAGGACCGAAAGGCAUGAAGGGACUGAUGGGCGGCGUGGGGGAGCCCGGACUGAAAGGUGAUAAGGGUGAACAAGGGGUGCCAGGUGUGUCGGGAGAUCCUGGCUUCCAAGGAGACAAGGGGAGUCAUGGCUUGCCAGGGCUCCCGGGUGGCCGGGGGAAGCCAGGGCCUCUGGGAAAAGCUGGAGACAAAGGAUCACUUGGGUUUCCUGGACCUCCUGGACCUGAGGGUUUCCCAGGAGACAUUGGCCCUCCAGGGGACAAUGGCCCUGAAGGCAUGAAGGGUAAGCCUGGAGCCCGAGGCCUGCCUGGACCUCCUGGGCAGCUGGGGCCUGAGGGAGAUGAAGGACCCAUGGGGCCACCAGGAGUCCCAGGCUUGGAGGGUCAGCCUGGAAGGAAAGGGUUUCCUGGGAGGCCUGGCCUGGAUGGCUCGAAGGGGGAACCAGGGGAUCCUGGACGGCCAGGACCUGUGGGUGAACAGGGGCUUAUGGGAUUCAUUGGUCUUGUCGGAGAGCCUGGAAUUGUUGGGGAGAAGGGAGACCGUGGGGUGAUGGGACCCCCAGGUGCACCUGGACCCAAGGGGUCGAUGGGCCAUCCUGGAACACCCGGUGGUAUUGGGAACCCUGGAGAGCCUGGACCCUGGGGCCCUCCAGGAUCUCGAGGCCUGCCAGGCAUGAGGGGAGCCAAGGGGCACCGGGGCCCUCGAGGACCUGAUGGACCAGCUGGGGAGCAGGGAUCCAAGGGCCUGAAGGGUCGUGUAGGACCUCGGGGCAGACCUGGCCAGCCAGGACAGCAGGGUGCAGCUGGUGAGCGAGGCCACUCAGGUGCAAAAGGCUUCCUUGGCAUCCCUGGUCCCUCAGGCCCUCCAGGUGCCAAGGGCCUCCCAGGAGAACCGGGCUCUCAGGGACCUCAGGGGCCAGUUGGUCCUCCAGGAGAAAUGGGGCCCAAGGGACCGCCGGGUGCAGUGGGAGAGCCUGGCCUUCCUGGGGACUCCGGAAUGAAGGGUGACCUCGGACCUCUGGGCCCCCCUGGGGAGCAAGGUCUUAUUGGGCAGCGGGGAGAGCCAGGCCUUGAGGGAGACCAUGGCCCUGUGGGGCCAGAUGGGCUGAAGGGCGACAGGGGCGACCCAGGGCCCGAUGGCGAGCAUGGUGAAAAGGGCCAGGAAGGGCUGAAAGGAGAGGAUGGGUCCCCUGGGCCCCCGGGCAUCACUGGCGUCCCGGGUCGUGAGGGGAAGCCGGGCAAGCAGGGUGAGAAAGGCCAGAGGGGAGCUAAGGGUGCCAAGGGCCACCAAGGAUAUCUGGGAGAGAUGGGCAUCCCCGGAGAACCUGGGCCCCCUGGGACCCCAGGUCCUAAAGGGUCCCGGGGCACCCUAGGACCAACGGGUGCUCCAGGACGGAUGGGAGCCCAAGGAGAACCAGGAUUGGCCGGUUAUAAUGGACACAAAGGCAUCACAGGACCCCUCGGGCCUCCCGGGCCCAAAGGCGAGAAGGGGGACCAGGGCGAGGAUGGCAAGACCGAGGGGCCCCCUGGGCCACCAGGAGAUCGGGGUCCUGUGGGUGAUCGAGGAGACCGUGGGGAGCCAGGCGACCCUGGAUACCCUGGUCAAGAGGGAGUUCAAGGCCUCCGUGGAGAACCGGGCCAGCAGGGACAGCCUGCGGAGACUGGCCACCCUCCCCAGGAGAGAGGCCUGGAGCUGCCUUGAGUCACCUCACCUUGGUUUGCAGGGGCAUCCAGGACCCCGGGGGCGCCCAGGACCCAAAGGAUCAAAAGGCGAAGAGGGCCCAAAGGGAAAGCCAGGCAAGGCUGGGCCAUCAGGCCGGAGGGGGACCCAGGGCCUUCAAGGACUGCCAGGCCCCCGAGGCGUGGUGGGGAGACAGGGCCCUGAGGGCACUGCUGGAUCUGAUGGGAUUCCUGGCAGAGAUGGUCGGCCAGGAUAUCAGGGAGACCAGGGAAAUGAUGGGGACCCUGGCCCUGUGGGCCCUGCUGGGAGAAGAGGAAAUCCAGGUGUGGCUGGCUUGCCUGGAGCACAGGGGCCUCCGGGAUUCAAGGGUGAAAGUGGGUUACCUGGGCAACUGGGUCCCCCUGGAAAACGAGGGACAGAAGGUGGAACAGGGCUUCCUGGGAACCAGGGGGAGCCAGGAUCCAAAGGCCAGCCGGGUGACUCUGGCGAGAUGGGCUUCCCAGGAGUGGCUGGCCUCUUUGGACCCAAGGGCCCCCCUGGAGACAUUGGCUUCAAAGGCAUCCAAGGUCCUCGGGGGCCUCCUGGCUUGAUGGGAAAGGAAGGUAUCAUUGGCCCCCCCGGAAUGCUGGGACCUUCUGGACUCCCGGGUCCCAAAGGUGACAGAGGCAGCCGAGGAGACUUGGGACUGCAAGGCCCAAGGGGUCCUCCUGGUCCAAGGGGCCGGCCAGGUCCCCCGGGCCCUCCUUGGCAUCCCAUCCAGUUUCAGCAAGAUGACCUUGGAGCAGCUUUCCAGACAUGGAUGGAUGCUCAAGGAGCCGUCAGAUCGGAGCAGGGGUACAGCUAUCCGGACCAGCUGGCGCUAGACCAGGGAGGGGAGAUCUUCAAAACCUUACACUACCUCAGCAACCUCAUCCAGAGCAUUAAGACACCCUUGGGCACCAAGGAGAACCCAGCCCGGGUCUGCCGGGACCUCAUGGACUGUGAGCAGAGGAUGGCGGAUGGUACCUACUGGGUGGACCCCAACCUCGGCUGCUCCUCUGACACCAUUGAAGUCUCCUGCAACUUUACACAGGGUGGGCAGACGUGCCUGAAGCCCAUCACGGCCUCCAAGGCCGAGUUUGCUGUGAGUCGGGUCCAGAUGAAUUUCUUGCACCUGCUGAGCUCUGAGGGGACACAGCAUAUCACAAUCCACUGUCUGAACAUGACGGUGUGGCAGGAGGGACCGGGACGCUCCUCUGCCAGACAGGCUGUGCGCUUCCGUGCCUGGAACGGACAGGUCUUCGAAGCUGGGGGUCAGUUCAGGCCAGAGGUGUCUAUGGAUGGCUGCAAGGUCCAUGAUGGCCGCUGGCAUCAGACACUGUUCACCUUCCGGACCCAGGACCCCCAGCAGCUGCCCAUCGUCAGUGUGGACAAUCUCCCGCCUGUCUCAUCAGGGAAGCAGUACCGCCUGGAAGUUGGACCUGCGUGCUUCCUCUGACCUCUGACCUCUAGGCUCAUCUAAGCCUUGUGGGGAAAGGGAAGAGAUGGGGACAGCUGGUCCCAGGAGAUGCAGGCCCUUGCCUUAGGAUCCUGGUGCAGGUCCUAGUUGUUAUCUGCUCAGCCGGAGUUGAGAAGGAGUAACAGGUCUGAGGCUGUCCCGGAGAACCACCCAUCCCAGCUCAGCCCCAAGAACCAACCAAAGAGCCAGUCAAAAGCAAGCUGGGUUUGCAGCCCACUCCAGCCCAUGGCCUGUUGCCCAGCUCUGUAGACAUCCCUGCUCCCCAGCUGCCCAAAGACCCCCUCCCCAUUGAUGCCACCUCAAGGAAAGGGGGCAUGUUGCCAGCUGGUUCCCGCUAGGGAGCUUUCGAUGUGCAAUAUUAGAAAGGAGACAUGGAAAAAAAAAGAGGAGGAAAAGGAAAGAAAUCUAUAUAUAUUAUUUAAACAAAGAGAAGGUGUGUUACUAUUUUUUUCACUUGGGAGAGGUGAGGAAGAGCAAGAGAAGCUGGGGGUGUGGAGAGGCAGGUCCCCCAGGCUGGGAUGCUGGCCCCUAGACUAGGGUGCUGACCCCUGGGCUGGGGUGCUGUGUGCUACCUCCCACUGUGAAAUCGCUGGUGCUCACAAUUGUCUCUUGUAAUGUAUGUGAUUUUUUUAAGGAGAAAAAGAAACUUAUUUAAGAUUCUGAAGGUGCUACUAUUUUCUGUUGCCACAGGCUUUAAAGAAACUUUCUGAAUGGGGCCUGGCCCACUUCUCUUUCUCUCCUCCAAAUGAGGAGUUAAAAAUGUUACUAGCAUAGCCCACCCGUGUAAUCCGUUGAAAAGGAACAAAAGGAAAAAAGAAAAGAAAGAAAAGAAAAAAAAAGAAAAAGAAAAAACAAAACAAAACAAAAAAAUCCUCCUAGAAACCAGAAGUAGAGAGAUUUCUGCUAAUUCUGGGCUUUGAAGCGUACGUCUUUUGAGGGGGCAUUUUGAUGUGGUCCUCCUUGCUUCUGGAGGGACUUGGUUCCCUUUAGAAAACCUGCCCUGGGAAAAGACUUCUUGGUUUUGAGGAAGAUCCUUGGUUAGCGAUGAUCUUGGAGGUGGACUAAGUCCAGAGCCAUCCCUGAAGCCAGGUGACUGUCCCAAGGUCUUCCCUCCCGGGAGCCCAACCUUUCGAGUGCAGCCAAACCUUACUGCUUUUACAACAUUGCACAGCUGUGUAGAAACCCCGUGUUCUUUCCCAUAGGUGCCAAUUUGGGUGGGGGAGGAAGGAACAAUUACAAGAUCCCCAUCUGUCUGCCCAUGCCACCUAAACAAGUCAGGACUCCAAUUGGAUUUUGAAGUUAUUUUAAUUAUAGAAUUAUUUUUUUAGAAGAAAGAUGGAUGUGAUAGUCUAUAUUUGUGUGUUUCUAAAGUUGUGUCUUGUGGGGGAAUUGGAUUCCAUUUUAGUUAUUUAAUACCUCACUCCCACCCACCUGCAUACUGCUUGUGUGUCCCGGCCUGUCCCGCAAGCCUAGUUGUGCUUUUUGUUGUCUGUUCCCCGUGCCCCCUCCUGUGUCUCACUCUGUCUUCUUGUCACUUGAUGUGCAUUUGCUGUUGUUCUUUCGUUUCUGUCUAAAUGUCAGUGUGUUCAAACCCCCAGAGGGUUCUGUUUUUCCCAUUCCCUUCUGGACUUUAAAUAAAUAUUUAAAACUGAGCAAUGGAAA